rnacentral:lncRNA from 1 species
CCUAAUCAAUAUGCCCUCAUUGGCAUCACAUUUUGUAUAUCAAACUAAAAUCACAUUCAAAGAUCACAACUCAUGCCUUUUACAUAAAUCACAUGUGCCAUUUCAUUCAUUCCAUUCAUAUGAGAUUUACCAUAUUAAAACUACUUUCAAGAAGUAAUAACCACUUAACUAAAGGCACUUAUAAAUGUACAUACACAAACCAAAACAAAGAUAUAUACAUAACUAUGCUUAAACCAAAUUGAAAUAACAUCAUUAUAGAGAAAGACCCAAAAGCUCCUAGUACAUGUCAUUUAUAACCACUCAAAAGUGACCAAAACUUCUACCGAGAUGAAGGGUAGAUAGCCCGUGUGUUCUGACUUGAUUCCAACUGAUCGAGGUUUCCGAUGAUCUACAAAAAAAGAAAACAACUAACAUAAGCAAUUAGUGCUUAAUAAGAUUGUAUAAAUCAUAAACGUAAACUUACCAAAUAGAAUUCAACUAACAAUUUAUUCAAUAGCUCAUGAAUUCAUUCAAUUCUUAUACACACCACAAAACUCACAAUUUAAUGAGUUUACAUGUAUAUAAAACUUAUAAUCACACCAUAUCAUUUAACAUUCAUCAAUAACCUAUGAAAUCCAACACAUCCAUAUCAUUUUCAUAUUAUAAAACAUGUUUAUCACCCGAUACUUAUCACAUGAUAAACAAAUGUUCAAGGAUGUCAUAGCAUCUUUCAGCCACGGUCUUAUUUAUUUUCGACAUUAUGCCAUAGUGUCUUUCAACUAUGGUCUUUUUUAUUUUCGACAUUAUGCCAUAGUGUCUUUCAACUAUGGUCUUAUUUAUUUUCGACAUUAUGCCAUUUCCAUCAUGUUGCUAUAGUGUCUUUCAACUAUAGUUUUAUUCAUUUCCGAUAUUGUGCCAUAAUGUCUUUCAACUAUAGUCUUAAUCAUGUCUCAAGCUAAUGAAUUCGAUCACCACAUACAUAAAUAGUUAAAUUACCAAAACAACAACUAAUUAAUUUAACCAAUUCAUGAACUUACCUAUACAAAAGCGAUUACGAAAACGAUGUUGAUGACUAUUCCGCUAACUUCACCUUCCCAUGAUUUAUGUCCGGCUGAUUUGUUUUUUGAUCUAAAUAAUAAGAUUAACUAAAUUAACCAAUUCAAUCAGCAUAAAUAAUCAAAUUUAUGCAUAUAAACCCUAUUAUUAUCAAUUUAUGAAAUUACCCCUAAACUUUACACUUUAUAUAAUUUAGUCCUAAAUCUUGAAACUUACGAAUUAACCAUAUUUAAGCAAAAUACAAGCUAGCCAAUUUCUAUAUAGUCCUUAUUCAGCCCACAUUUACCAACAUUUCACAAUAAUUCCCAGAAUUUUUUUCUCUUUUAACAAUUUAAUCCUUUAACAUCAAAUUUACUAAAAACUACUUUAAAAAAUAGCCCUAUUUAUCAACCAUGCUUAAUACUCUACCACAAAACUUCACAAACACCACAAACACAUCAAUGGCAUAAUCCAAACUAUUUAAAAAUUUUACAAAUUAGUCCCCGGGUUAGCUAGAUUAAACUAAAACGAACUCAGAAACAUAAAAAUCACUAAGAAAGGGCAAAAAUUACAUGUCAUGCACCAAAUACAAGCUUAGUCGAAUGUUCUUUAAGCUUCAAUGGCGGUUUCGGUUUUGAUAGGCAUAAACUGAAGAAGAUGAUAGUCAAUUAAGCUUUUGUUUUGUUUAAUUUUUGUUUAAUUAUCAAAUUACCACUUUACCCUUUAAAAAAUAAUAAAAUUUUAUGCUAAUAGCCACCAAAACUAUCCUAUAAAAAUGUAAUUGGUAUAUUUACCAUUUAAAUCCAUAAAUUUUCAUUUCCAUAACUAUUUAACAGAUUUAACUAAUAGAAACUAGCUUUUUGCAGUUUUUAUGAUUUAUUAUUCUUUUCUUAAUUAACUAUCUAAACGUUAACAUUUUUAAACCGAAUUUUCUUACGACCUUGUAGUAACCCUAUAAAUAAUAAAUAAUUAAUAAAACACUAACACACUAGUCGAAAUUGUGGUCCCGAAACCACUGUUUCCGAAAAUACUGAAAAUGGAUUGUUACAUUAUCAUUAUCACAUUUUCUCAUACACAAAAAUAUAAUAAAAAUUAGCAUAUAUAUUUUCUAAGCUUUCUUAUAACAACCAAACUCAAAUAUCAAGAUAGAAGGGAGAAAAAAUACCAUUUCUUACCUUAUAAAAGCUUUCUCUCUCUAGCCUCAGCAUUCUCCAUCAAGAACCAUUGAAACCCUUCCUGAAAAUGGUGAGAUUGAUCAUGGAAAUGAGUUUACGAGAUGAUUUCUCAAUUAAUUUUAGUUAAAACUCAAGGAUGGGUUGUUGGGUUUUUAAGAGAUUUGAAGAGAAAAGAAAGAAAAAUGGGGAAAAAGAGAGAAUUUCAUGGGAGACGGAGAGGGACAACAGCAAGCUGAAAAUGGAGAUGAGUUUUUCUCCAUAAUUUU